rnacentral:misc_RNA from 1 species
GAUGAAGAACGUAGCUAAAUGCGAUAAGUAAUGUGAAUUGCAGAAUCCAGUGAAUCAUCGAAUCUUUGAACGCACAUUGCGCCCGCCAGCAUUCUGGCGGGCAUGCCUGUUCGAGCGUCAUUUCAACCCUCGACCUCCCUUUGGGGAAGUCGGCGUUGGGGACCGGCAGCACACCGCCGGCCCUGAAAUGGAGUGGCGGCCCGUCCGCGGCGACCUCUGCGUAGUAAUCCAACUCGCACCGGAACCCCGACGCGGCCACGCCGUAAAACACCCAACUUCUGAACGUUGACCUCGAAUCAGGUAGGACUACCCGCUGAACUUAAGCAUAUCAAUAAGCGGAGGA